GUGUGUACUUUGUACAUCUGGCUUCCUCCAUUGGACUAAAAGUUUAGUGGGACAGCUGAGGGAAGGCAUCUUUUCUGAGUUCUUUUUUAUUUCUCUCCCAUUUGGUAGGUAUUCAAAUAUUUGUUGAAUGGAUGAGGAAAAUCCCACCCCUUCCCCAACACACGCAGAGAAUCAGCUGUUGGAGAGCUCCAAAGGAUUUCAUCACAACCAUGCUAUUAACCAUGAAAAUCCAUUUACUUCCCGUCAAGGUACUUGUGGUGCAUCAGAAAUCGUGAGUUGUACUCCAUGCUUCAUCACAGCUAAAUCUUGGAAGCAGCCAAUACAUCCAUCAGUGGAACUUUGGUCUUGAGGCCCCUAAUGCUGAGGUCUGACCAAAGCUCCGAGGACAACACUGACAAGUCAUGGUGCAAGGAACUGAAGGAGGAGGACUCGAGAGAAGAGUUAAGAGCAGAUAACAGACUGACUCAGUUCCCUCCUGCUCCAGGACUAGGAGAAUGCAGGGAGACUGAGGAGCUAGAAGCACCUUCUUGCAUCUUGGAGGAAUAAUGGGGAUCCACAUCACUGAGCACAUCCUGCUGCCUUCUACCACCUUACAUACCGAUAAGAAACAGAGAGAAGUGCUGCGAUCAGGAAUGAUGGAGAUCACUGCAGAUUCUACAAACAUUAAAAAGAUAAUAAGAGCAUAUUUUUAAAAGUGAUGUCAAUAAAUUUGAUAUUAUAUGAAACUGACAAAUUGCCUGAAUAAGACAAAACUAACAGGUAAAUAUAGACUAUCUCCAUAUUAAUUCUAUUAAUGCAGUCAUCAUAU
rnacentral:lncRNA from 1 species